rnacentral:miRNA from 1 species
CAGGAAAGAAUGUGAUGAGUA